rnacentral:pre_miRNA from 1 species
UUACAGAAACCCGUAAAUCCGAACUUGUGCUGGGUGGUUUUGUGUUGCAAGAACGGGUUUAUGGGAAUCUGUCAA